CUCAUCUUCCUUUGUCAAAGACGUACACGACGCAUCUCUACGUCGCCCGGAAUGUUUCAAAAACCCGGGGGAUGCUGAAUGAUUUCUCAGACCAAUGAAUAAAAUGCUUUCGCUUUCGUUUCCCUGUCAAACGGAAACAGUUUGUCUGUCUUGCUGGUUAGAGACAAGCGGCCUGCCUGAUCAUCACAUGCUAUCAUUUUGCAUAAUAUUUUAUGCUACAACUGAAAGCCUGCAACACCGACGUAAGCAUGUUGUAUUUUAGAAGGGUCAGAGACCAGACGUUUUCAGUUAGUAUCAGUGUGAAAUUGCGCCGGAUUUUAUGGGCAUAGAAACAUUCAAUAUCUCUACAGUAUCCACAUUAGCCAUAUCCACAUCACUCUUCAUUUUGAAACCAUAACAACAGCUGUGACGUCAUCAGAAUGACCCCUAGAAUCUUUGCCCUAAAGUCUCCCAUAAAGAGGACUGCAAGGCACAGGCAGAAAAUAAAUGCAGACCCAGUAGCAAGGGCCAAGCUGCUUGAAAGGAGACGAGUAAGCUAUCAGAGACGAAAGCUUGCUGCCUUGGGUUCAAAUCCUGAUCAUCCAACAAUCAGGAGUUUGUCAAAAGUCACAGAUGAAAAGACACUAAAGCAAUGGCGGGAAAAUCAAAGAAAACACAGGACAGAAGUAAGACAAAUAAGGACAGUUCUACGUCUUAAACCAGAGUCCUUGAGGAAGUGGUUGAAAGACCCUCUUCAGUAGACCCCACUCCACAGCCUCAGUCUCCGCAAGCAGACGAAGCCUUGCCUUUCUCCAACCGCUGAACAGCUAAAUGCAAAGAAGGUGGGUAAGAGCAGCAAAAUACUGAAGACGCAAAAUUCAGCGUUCAGAUGUCAGCUCUUCGGAUGGGAAAAAAUGCACAAGAAGUUGGGAAAGGAUGUACAAAUACCAUGAGCAGUCCUUGUGGUGGACACCAAGAGUAUCGCUAUCAGUGACAUAAUAUAGUUAUGGAGGAUGCUAGGAGAGGUUAGGACACAUAGGGAAGGCAGGGAAAGCAGUGACUUACAGACAGGGCUUCAGUGAUGUCACUCACUACAUAAUUUACCUCGGUAAAUUGAACACCUGUCCUCACCUUUUGGGGGGGUCGCAAUUAGUUUUGGAAGGCUCAGUGGGAGCUGAGGCCUGUUUCCCCUUUGUGUUUUGGAUUAUGAGUUUCUGGAUUACCACUAAUAACCCAAAUAAAACCUGAACUAUGAGAAAACCGACGAUUGGGCUUGGCUGUAGCGCUGGGAGAACAGGAAUGGAGUGUGAGGAUGCCGCUCUCUGAUGUUCCUGCCAAGCUGUCACACAUCACAGUUAGGACCUACCUCCAGGUCUGUGCAUCACAUGCAUAGGGCUGGGACGGUAACCGCAUAACUGCAAUAUCACCGUCACGUGACGCCUAGUCCAUCACCGCAACAAAACAAAAAUGUGUGUACAUAGUGUGUGAUGUCGUGAUGUAUUAUGUGAGGGACCAGCUUAUGACAUGGAUUCAGGUUUUCUAAACAAAACUUCUCAAAAGAUGAAGCAAACCUGACCUUCCGCGUGUGUGUUGGGGAGCGCAAUGUUCCAACAUUCCAUUUACUAUGCGAGAGUAGGGGAGAACCGGCACAAUCGUAAUACUUUUCUAUUCUCUCCGUUCUAACUCGAUUUACACAAAGACGUUAGACUUGAAAGCUGUGAUAACUCCAUGAAAGUUGAAACAGAAUUAAAAAAAAAUAUGUUGUAGUUUGUUAAGAAUUUAGCGACACGUCGCCUACCUUUGUUACAACCUGACGCAGCCAUUAAAAAGUGCGGUAGCCUACCUUUGUAACAGUAGCAUACUGUAGGCAUCAUGAAUAUAGCCUUGUUGUUAAACUGAUUAUUUCUUUCAUGUCUGAAGCAUUUGGGGGUUAAAGCGGUAUUUGUUGCAAGUUGUGGAAGGCUUUUAGUUAAGUAACAACAACCCCUAGACAACGAAGAGCUAUUGGCCUGUGCCGCCUCAUAACAAGGAUGGAUCACACCAAAGGAAACAGUGUUGUGAAUGGCAACAUUGCAAAGCUGUCUUUGUCUGGCAUGGGAGCGCAUCAGUUAUGCUUGUAUGGAAAGAGGUGGCUCAUGAUUAUGACUGGUCUUGUUAAGUUAUGUCACGGAAAAACACUAUGUGACUUUCAGAGUUGUCAGACUACAGUACUCUUCACACCACACAUCUUGUAAUCAGGAAUCUAGGAGUCAUUGUGGUAUGCCUUGGACAUGAUUAAUCAUUGAUGGGGUCACAUAUCAGAAGAUCUUUCACCAGGAGGAGCCUGAUCUAUCUGAUCUCCAGAAUACAUUUUGUCAUGAAGCAAUACGUGACAUGUGGAAUGAUGCAAUACCAAGCACAAGAUAGGAUAUUUUUUACCCUGUUUACGUCCAAUAUUCACAAUUGCACUAACAACAUUGUAAAAGAUAACCAAGUGUAGGCUAAUAUUGUUCUGUCUUAUAGGUUUUAUAGUUCAGCAUUUCUAUUUUCUAUGAAUAUAUUCUGCACUUUAAUUAUAAUAGUUUAUACUCUUGUAUUUUAAUUGCUGUCUGUUUUGUGU